rnacentral:rRNA from 1 species
UACGAAGGGGGCUAGCGUUGCUCGGAAUCACUGGGCGUAAAGGGUGCGUAGGCGGGUCUUUAAGUCAGAGGUGAAAUCCUGGAGCUCAAACUCCAGAACUGCCUUUGAUAUUGAGGAUCUUGAGUACGGGAGAGGUGAGUGGAACUGCGAGUGUAGAGGUGAAAUUCGUAGAUAUUCGCAAAGAACACCAGUGGCGAAGGGCGGACUCGCCUUGGCCCGUUA